ACGUACACUCCUACGGGAGGCAGCAGUGGGGAAUAUUGCACAAUGGGCGCAAGCCUGAUGCAGCCACGCCGCGUGUAUGAAGAAGGCCUUCGGGUUGUAAAGUACUUUCAGCGGGGAGGAAGGCGAUAAGGUUAAUAACCUUGUCGAUUGACGUUACCCGCAGCAGAAGCACCGGCUAACUCCGUGCCAGCAGCCGCGGUAAUACGGAGGGUGCAAGCGUUAAUCGGAAUUACUGGGCGUAAAGCGCACGCAGGCGGUCUGUCAAGUCGGAUGUGAAAUCCCCGGGCGCAACCUGGGAGCUGCAUUCGAAACUGGCAGGCUAGAGUCUUGUAGAGGGGGGUAGAAUUCCAGGUGUAGCGGUGAAAUGCGUAGAGAUCUGGAGGAAUACCGGUGGCGAAGGCGGCCCCCUGGACAAAGACUGACGCUCAGGUGCGAAAGCGUGGGGAGCAAACAGGAUUAGAAACCCGAGUAGUCCCAUG
rnacentral:rRNA from 1 species